GGUGUAGAUUUUCAUGCCUUUUGUAAACGGUAUUGUGAAUUGGGUUAAGUUGACUCGAUUUGGCAUUAGGCUGGGCCCAGUCUUGAAUUAUUCUAUGUAUGAAUAUUUCUUGAAUCAAUAAAGUAAAUGUUUUAUAUGCGCUUCAUGAGUACUCUGAUAUUUGACUAGUCCGGUCUAACACAACGUUAGGUCGUAGUACGGGUUGAAAAGCCUUAGGCCUCGAUCUAACAGAAAACGCUAACUCUUGGUACGGGUUGCAAAGCCUUCUGCCUUGACGCAGCGGGACGAGUUAGUGGAUGAACUGGUCUAGGUCGUGGAGUAAAGUUUGUGACUCUGACCGGAUCAUCCCUAGCCCGUCACGUAGCGUUUCCGGACCAUGGUGUUGGGUUGGACGGUCAGUCAUGUUUUUGUUUGAUUGUUGGCUGGCCGAUUGGCCUUUCAUCUCCAACCCUUGGUAUGGGUCGUCCGUCGGUCAUGUUGUUGUUUGAUUGUUGGCCGGUGGGUCGACCUAUGCUUAGGACGGUUCGGGGGUGUUACAGUCGGGGGCAUUUGAUUUCAUAGUCAGAGGUGAAAUUCUUCGAUUUAUGAAAGACAAACAACUGCGAAAGCAUUUGCCAAGGAUGUUUUCAUUAUUCAAGAACAAAAGUUGGGGGCUCGAAGACGAUCAGAUACCGUCCUAGUCUCAACCAUAAACGAUGCCGACCAGGGAUCAGCGGAUGUUGCUUUUAGGACUCCACUGGCACCUUAUGAGAAAUCAACCUUUUUGGGUUCCGGGGGGAGUAUGGUCGCAAGGCUGAAACUUAAAGGAAUUGACGGAAGGGCACCACCAGGAGUGGAGCCUACGGCUUAAUUUGACUCAACACGGGAAACUUACCAGGUCUAGACAUAGUAAGGAUUGACAGACUGAGAGCUCUUUCUUGAUUCUAUGGGUGGUGGUGCAUGGCCGUCCUUAGUUGGUGGAGCGAUUUGUCUGGUUUAUUCCAUUAACGAACGAGACCUCAGCCUGCUAACUAGCUGCGUGGAGGCAUCCCUUCACGGUCGGCUUCUUAAAGGGACUGAGGCCGUUUGGGCCAAGGAAGUUUGAGGCAAUAACAGGUCUGUGAUGCCCUUAGAUGUUCUGGGCCGCAUGCGCGCUACAAUGAUGUAUUCAAUGAGUUCACACCUUGGCCGACAGGCCCGGGUAAUCUUUGAAAUUUCAUCGUGAUGGGGAUAGAUCAUUGCAAUUGUUGGUCUUCAAUGUGGAAUUCCUAGUAAGCGCGAGUCAUCAGUUCGCGUUGACAACGUCCCUGCCCUUUGUACACACCGCCCGUCGCUCCUACUAAUUGAAUAAUCUGGUGUUCGGAUCGCGGCAACGUGGGUAGUUCGCCGUCUGCAACGUCGCGAGAAGUCCACUAAACCUUAUCAUUUAGAGGAAGGAGAAGUCGUAACAAGGUUUCCGUUGGUGAACCUGCGGAAG
rnacentral:rRNA from 1 species